CCAGACCCCGCAGAACCGAAAGUUUAACAUUCACACAUAAACUUAAGUCCCCGUGCGGCCAUCCGUAUAUCGGGCCUGUCUCGCGUGGGGACACACACAGAGGAGGCAGGAAUCAGUAAGUGCAAAAUACAAAAACGAAUGGAGGCGUGCUGGGCGCGAAACGUCGAAGCGCCUCAAAAGAACCGUGAAGAAAAGGCAGGGAGAAGGGCGCGCAGCCGGGACUCGGGGCCGGGGGAUUGCAUCAUUGCAGCUCCCCCUCCAGAAAAUGGGCCCCGAACCGCGGCCACCAUCAUGGCGCUCGCGCCGGGCCGCGCUUCCCCCGCGCUUUCCCAGAGCACUCGGGUCACGGGCGCUGAGCCUCGAGCGAGCGUUCUGCAAACAUGUCCCCCUUCUCUCUCCAGCGCCUGCCCCCCCACCUCCUCCCUUCCUUUUGUGUGCUUGCGGACGUGUGUGCGUGCGUCCGUGUGAGUGUGUAUGGACCGGAGAACUUGAAGAUUAUUUUUUUCCUCACUUUUUUCCCUCUCGUGCUAGUGGUUGUAAACUUGAUUGGCAUUGGCUGCGCCCACUGACCCCAGCGCCGAGUCCACUGAAGAUUUAAGGUGGAUCCGAGAAGCCGCAGCUUCGGGCGGAGUCUUAGGCUUUAGCUAGUUUUGGAGGAAAAAAAAAAAAAAAAAGCCCCGAACCGUGGGCCCGCUGCGUUUUUACGAAUCCCUCGCAGCAGCAGCCUCGGCGCCCGCCCCGCCCGCCGCGCGCCGGCUCCGCCCACCUCCCGCUUCUUUCCCAUUGGCCCGCGAGAGCAGUUUGAAUUUUUUUUUUUUUUGGAUGCUUGUUUUCUUGUUAAAAAAUACCGUGUCCCAGAUCAAGUGACGAAACCUACUUCCGCGGCCGGAGGUGGGGUGUUGUAGCUGGUGUUUUGGAGGCUGGAGGGAGGAAGGUGGGCGGAGCUUCUGUUUCUAAAAUUUUCCCUAAGGAGCGGUUGAUUGUGUACUGGCGGGUGGAGGAGACUGGGGCCGCAGAAAAACAAACGGGAGAAGCCGAGCCCAGUGUAGUAUAAAACGUUAAUGGAUGUCCAGGGCGCAUCGUUUCACCGGCUGCUGGCCAGAGGUACUAGGAGGCGCUGGCAGGAGCACUGGCGAGGAUGCACCUUUCCCCUGCCUUGGAAAGUCCUGAUGAAAAUUCUGAGAAGUCGUCCCGUCGAUGGGGAAAAGGAGCCUGGGACCCCUUCCUUGAGGUCAAAUAAAGCAGUUUAAAAAAGGCUCCAAUUUAGGUCCUGCUGACUCUCAGCCUGGCUUUAGAGGCUGUCCUGUUAUUCCUGUAAAUAAUCUCAACAAGAACAAGGCCAACUGGCUCAGCGUGACACGCGAUCCCAAAUCAUUCUCUUGCACUUUCUGCCAGAUUGGAAGACAGUCUCAUGAUUAAAUAUUUCUGCCAGCGAUA